GCUAUUGGCACCGGAAGAGUUACGAACUACGGAUAUACCGAGACGACUCAGAAAAAAAUAUCACACAGGAAUAGAAUUUUUUUUAUUUUAUCAAUGAUGCGACUUCACAAACUGUACCAUCGCUUCACUCUUCUCCCUUUUUCGCCAUUAUCGCUCCCUUCUAAUCCCUCUCUUCUUCCUCUCGCUCCUCCGCUUCGCCUCACGCUCCGUCUCCGAACCGCUGUGAACUUCGCUUCCAUGGCUUCUUCGCGGUUGCGCAAUCUAGCGCCUCUCGCAGCUGCGCCUACUGAAGACGCCGCUGCCGCCUUUUCUUCCUCUGCCAACGCCGCUACUUCCUUUGAUUACGAAGACGAGUCAACUAUAGGAACAAAGUAUCGUGUUCCUCCACCUGAGAUCAGUAAAAUAGUCGAUGCUCCACCAGUACCUGCAUUGUCAUUCUCACCACUCAGGGACAAAAUUAUCUUUCUCAAGCGAAGAGCUCUACCUCCACUGGCAGAAAUAGCAAGGCCGGAGGAAAAGUUGGCUGGUAUACGUAUUGAUGGAAAGUGCAAUACUAGGAGUCGCAUGUCAUUCUACACAGGUAUAGGGAUCCAUCAAAUUCUUCCUGAUGGCACAUUAGGGCCAGAGAUAGAGGUGCAUGGUUUCCCUAAUGGUGCUAAAAUAAAUUUUGUUUCGUGGUCUCCUGACAGUUGUCAUUUGUCCUUUAGCAUUCGUGUGAAUGAGGAGGACAGUGAUAGUAGUAAACUCACAGUGUGGAUUGCAGAUGUGAAAACAGGGAAAGCCAUACAAUUGUUUAAGUCACCAAAUGUACACUUGAAUGCAGUUUUUGACAAUUAUGUUUGGGUAAAUAACUCUUCUUUGCUUGUUUGUACCAUUCCAUCAUCACGAGGAGCUCUGCCAAAGAAACCUUUGGUUCCUGCUGGCCCUAAAAUUCAAUCUAAUGAGGAGAAAAACAUUGUUCAAGUAAGAACAUUCCAAGAUUUGCUGAAAGAUGAAUAUGACGAAGAUUUGUUUGACUACUAUGCCACCUCACAACUUGUUUUAGCUUCUUUGGAUGGUUAUGUAAAAGAAAUUGGCCCACCAGCUGUUUAUACCUCAAUGGACCCUUCCCCAGAUAACAAGUACAUUUUGAUUAGUUCAAUUCACAGGCCAUACUCUUUCAUUGUUCCUUGUGGAAGAUUUCCAAAGAAGGUAGAGUUAUGGAGUGCUGAGGGAAAAUUAAUCAGGGAGCUUUGUGAUUUGCCCCUUGCUGAGGACAUUCCAAUUUCAUUCAAUAGUGUGCGUAAAGGGAUGCGCUCCAUUAAUUGGAGAGCUGAUAAGCCGUCAACACUUUACUGGGUAGAAACUCAAGAUGGAGGUGAUGCAAAGGUUGAAAUUUCUCCUCGUGAUAUAGUUUAUACACAGCUUGCUGAACCUAUAGAAGGUGAACAACCAACGAUAUUCCACAAGCUUGAUUUCCGCUAUGGAGGGAUUUCUUGGUGUGAUGAUUCUCUGGCUUUGGUGUAUGAAUCUUGGUACAAAACUCGGAAAAUAAGAACAUGGCUAGUUUCUCCUGGAUUUGAAGAUGUAGCUCCAGACAUCCUAUUUGAUAGAUCUUCAGAGGAUGUAUACUCUGAUCCUGGCUCUCCUAUGAUGCGGAGAACUCAAGCUGGGACAUACAUCAUUGCAAGGAUAAAAAGAGCCAACGACGAAGGAAAAUACAUUAUACUGAAUGGAAUUGGUGCUACACCAGAAGGGAACAUUCCAUUCCUUGAUCUGUUUGAUAUAAAUACACGUAAAACAGAACGAAUCUGGCAGAGCGAUAAAGAAAAGUAUUAUGAGACAGUUGUUGCUCUAAUGUCUGAUCAGGAAGAAGGGGAUUUGCAUUUGGACAAGUUGAAGAUACUGACUUCUAAAGAGUCAAAAACUGAAAACACCCAAUAUUACUUUGUUAGCUGGCCAGAUAAAAAAACAGUUCAGGUUACAAAUUUCCCUCAUCCGUACCCUCAACUUGCAUCAUUGCAGAAGGAGAUGGUCAGGUAUCAGAGAAAAGAUGGGGUUCAACUUACCGCUACAUUAUACCUGCCACCAGGUUACAAUCCAUCAACAGAUGGUCCUUUGCCAUGCCUGGUUUGGUCUUACCCUGGAGAGUUCAAGAGUAAAGAUGCUGCUGGACAAGUUCGUGGUUCUCCAAAUGAAUUUCCUGGGAUAGGUUCCACAUCAGCCCUUCUUUGGCUGGCUAGAAGGUUUGCAAUUCUAUCUGGGCCUACCAUUCCUAUUAUUGGUGAAGGUGAUGAAGAGGCAAAUGAUAGGUAUGUAGAACAAUUGGUUGCAAGCGCCGAGGCUGCUGUGGAAGAAGUUAUCAGGCGUGGGGUAGCCGAUCCAAAGAAAAUAGCUGUUGGUGGACAUUCCUAUGGUGCGUUCAUGACUGCUAACCUCCUGGCACAUGCACCUCAUCUUUUCUGUUGUGGAAUUGCACGUUCUGGUGCUUACAACAGAACACUUACUCCUUUUGGUUUUCAGAAUGAAGACAGAACUCUUUGGGAAGCUACUAAUACUUAUGUUGAGAUGAGUCCUUUUAUGUCGGCUAAUAAAAUAAAGAAACCCAUCUUGCUUAUUCACGGGGAAGAGGACAAUAAUCCAGGAACAUUAACCAUGCAGUCAGACAGGUUUUUCAACGCACUGAAGGGUCAUGGUGCUCUUUGUCGGCUAGUCAUUCUUCCUCAUGAGAGUCAUGGUUACACUGCCAGAGAAAGCAUCAUGCAUGUACUUUGGGAAACAGAUAGAUGGUUGCAUAAACACUGCGUGCCCAACAGUUCUGAUGCAGAAGAAGACCAUGAAACUGGCACCGUCAAAGAACACGUUAACAAAGUAACCACAAAUGCUGAAAGCAAAGUGGUUGCAACCAGCGGAGGUGGCAGCAGAGAAGUGUCUGAGCUUGAGAACGAAGAAUUUCAUUCUCUGCCAAGGUCUUCCUUGUGAAUGAUAAAUUUACGAGCCGUAAAUCUCUGUAUGGCUUGGCCAUAUUCAUGCUACCUUGCGAAGAAUAGACAGGAAUUAUCUGAACUCGGAAUAGAAUCAUUCAAAUGAUGCAUGUGGAAGAAAGAGCUGCAAGACGCCCUUCACUGUGAGGACGUUCAAAUUGACAGGGAUCAGUUACAUUACAAGUAGGGGAUAUCAAAAGCUACUUGACGAUUUCAUGUAAAGAACCUUUAAAAACUACAGUAGCAAUAAUAGCAUUGCUGGUGCAGUGGUAAGUUGCCAAAAUAUUUGAAUGAUUUAGCAGUAUGAUUCAUCAUCUGUCGCUCGUGUUUUCACAAGGCUCUCCUUUGCGGCUUACCUAAAAACAAAGCAAUCUAACAUACUUGAGGUAACCAAACUCACUGCUUAUUCUUCCUAUGCUGUUUGAUAUCUUUCUUCAUAAUCAUGGAGUUGUGGUUCUUUUUACUGAAUAUACAAUUGUACUAUGAUGGCACAUGAUGAAGCUUGGAAUGAUGUUUGUUUACCUAAAUACCUACAUAAAUAAGGUAAUACUUAUUUUUUUUUAUA